UUGGAUUUAUUUAUUGAUGUAUUUUAUGUGUAUUGGUACUUUGUCUAUGUGUACAUCUGUAUACCAGAUGGUGAUAUCAGACAGGUGUGAACUGCCAUGUGGGUACUGGGAAUUUAACUCAGGACCAUCAGAAGCAAUGAUUGCUCUUAACAACUGAGCCAUCUCUCCAGCACCCCACCCCCACCCCCAAAAGCUGUUUUCUACAUGAAUUGUAUCAUGGCAGUUAUUGUAUAUUAGAAUUUGGAGUUGCUUUUUUUCUCUACAGUUACAUAGUAUUUUGUUAUAUGGACAUAUUUUUAUUUACUUAAUAUGAAUUUUAAUAUAGUUCUUUAUUUAAAUGACUGCAUAGGUAUGUUUAACCUUUUGUUUGGACCUUAUUUUUCGCACAUGUUGUGUGUAUAGUACAAAAUUUUAAGAGUAUACUUGCAGGUGACUUUAGGUUCACACUCCCACCCAUAAACAAGAGUGCUUGUUUCACAAAGUCUUUGUCCAUGCUCUUUCUGGUAACUGUUUUAAGAACAAAACUUCUUAGCCAGUGUGGUGGCACAGGCCUUUAAUCUCAGCGCUGGGGAAGCAGACACAAGUAGAUCUCUGUGAGUUCAAGGCCAGGCUGGUCUACAGCAAGUUGUAGGACAGCCAGGGCUACACAAAGAACCCCUUUCAUCAUCAUUUCUAUUUCUAUGUAUUUCUGUUAUUGUAGAAGAGGUUGAAAAUCUUUUUAUAUAUUUACGAUUAUUUUUGCCUAUUUGACUAUUAGACCAGUGGUAUUUACUUACUGAUUUUUUUUCUCAUUGAUCACCCUCCCCCAAUACAUGCAUUAUAACAAAGUACGUAGUAAUUUUCCUAUGUGUGUGUUCAGUUCUAUGAGACUUAUCUUUUUAAUAAUUGUCUAUAUGGUAAAAUAAUUUAAACACUGAUAAAACACAGAACACAGGAGCCUUCUCUACCACAGACCCUUCUCUUCUCCCUCUGUCUUUUUCUUGUUCUCACUGUUUAAAAUAGAAGCUGGGGGUUGGGAUAGGGGGUUUGUGGAGAGGAAACCAUGAAGGGGGAUAACAUUUGAAAUGUAAAUAAAUAAAACAACCAAUU
rnacentral:lncRNA from 1 species